CCCUGCUCCUCCUCCUAGUCCUUGCUUUGGCCGCCUGGCACUUUGCCUGAUUAACAAUCAUUUGAUGCUUGCUGUUUAGGCAUGAAGUAUGUGACUACUUCAUUUGUAAAUUAUUCCUACAUUUUCUAUGAGAAUCUCUAUCAACUGUUUUUGUAGACUCGCUAGCCAACAAUGUAAAGCUAGACGUCUCUUGUCUUAGCGGGAAACAUUGAAAGUGAUCCUGAAAUUCGUCGAGACUCAUCCGAAUUAUUGGUGGGGAUGCGUCCCUACCCUCACACCCUACACCUGAGCCCGUGAUUUAUUCCACAGCUUCUACAUGGCAUUCUUUUGUCUGUCCGGUUGUGUGGUCCACUGUCCGGUUUUGUGGUCAGUCACAACAAUAAAGAAUGUAAGCAAACGGCAGUUGGCCCAGAACAGAGAAUAUAGAAUUUAAAUGCGCCCCAAGUGGAUGCGGGAAUUCUAUGAAUGACCAUCCAGAGAUUGACUGCAUCCCUCGGCCCUUUGUGCAGGUGGUAAAUGCGCUGCGAGCUGCCUGUCCGUACGGCUGGCACGCGGCUCGGACACACGUCAACACCACGCAGGGGAUGCAAUCACAGGUCUCCUCACAGUCCCCGAGUCCAUGAUAGAAGCCGGGAAGCGGACGGUACUAAACAGAACCAUGCCCACGCGGACCUCUUUGCAACCCCGGAUUAUCACAGGGGGAAAUUACCAGAGGGCCACCAAAAACAAAACAAAAAACACAAGAGAACUUAAGGGGAUCCCAGAACGAUUGGCUACUCUUGGAAUGUAAAAGAAAUUGACAUCGCUAGCGUCGAUAUCGACGGUGUUGACGUCGUCAUGGGUUGGUGGGCCUAUAAAAUAUGUAAACUCUGCGAGAAAGUUACAGUAGAUUGCGCAAGAUUAGUCUUGGUCCCACAUGGCGCUCUACAGCCUUACAGGGCCUGCUGAAAAGAAGUACACCAUUGUGAAAAGUGUGUGACUGUUGAUACUAUGUUCCAUGGUCUAACUACUGUAUAUGCAUUCCUGUUCUUUUGAUUCCGGUUGUACUGGCCUUACUGUUAUGUAGUCCCAAUGUUCUAUGGUAUCACUGUACAUAAUUCACACUCCUCAAGAGGCCUUAACAUUCUAUAGGCUUUCUGUUCUAUAGCCUUUCAGUUCAAUAGUCAUCAUGGUCAUACUGUUCAAAAGGCCAAAAUGUUCUAUAGUAUUACUGUUCUAUAGCCUCACUGCUCUAUAGUAUUACUGUUCUAUAGCCUUACUUUUCUGUAGUCUUGCUGUUUUACAGUCUUACAAUUCUACAUGUCUCACUUUUCUACAGCCUUACUGUUCUGUAGUCUUUUUGUUCACGGCUUACUAUGGACAUUAAAAUGGCCAGACUAAUAAAGCAGACAACACAAUGUAUACCCUGGCAGGAUGGUAUGGUAAUAAGAACUGAGCUUAUUAUUGACUUUUCAUACAUUACAUUUUCAUACAUACAUACAUUCCCCUUCCAAUAAUGAUGAGAAGACAGGUUAGAAGGUGUGUUUUAUGUGUGGCUUUGAUUUCUUUUGGUGUAAACGUGCAACUUGUGUUUUAAAUAACAUUUUGCCAGAAGCUUCUUACACCACAAAUGUAGAAUAACAGUGAAAUGCGCUCCAACAAUGCAGUCGUAAGACAGACUAUGUGAAUAAUGAAUAACAACUGUCAACAACAUGAUUGCAUU